AAAGACACAUGACUGUAUUUCAUCAUUGUGAUAUUUUUUAACUCCAAAUAAUUUUCUCUAUUUUUUAUGAACAAUUUAAGUUCUCUCUACAACCACAUAAAAAGAUAAAAAUGUGAAAAAAUAAAAUGAGGUGCAAUAACUAUAUCUAUACUAUUAAUAAAACCGUUAGCUGAGUUAGUGUAAUGAGUCAAUCGAACACCAAAUCGAUUUGAGAAAUUACAGAAAUGUC
rnacentral:lncRNA from 1 species